CCCACUUUCUUCAAAAAAUAAAUAUCUAGAGAGAGGUAUGGGAGUGAACGUCUGUAACGAGAAUGAUUAGUAAAGAUGAGUUCUUGGAUUCCCAAAGCUUGAGAUAGAGAAGUUGCUGUACAAUCUUCGGAGAAUUGUAUUUGAAAAGAUGAGGAAAAAGGCGAGGGUGGUGCUAGAGUUUCACGACGGUGAUGACAGUGGCUCAGGCAUCGCUGAAAUUUUGUUGAGAAGAGAGGGAACGCAACAGCGAGACCAAAGAUUUGAAUGAGGGUUGGGGCGGCCGAGUUCCGGCAAGGACGACGGUGGCAGCAACCCGUUUGAAGGAGCUGCUCGAUGGCGAGCUCACUGGACUGUAGUGACAGCGGAGUUCGCGACAUCAGCGGCAAUGAUCGACGGAGGAGAAACUUCUCUGAUCGAACAACAACGAGCAGCAGCAGCGCAGCAGGCUGUCCCGGCGGUCUCAGCGGCUGCAGCGGGGCGGCAACGAUUCCGACAGCGGCGCGGAGGAGAGGCAAAGGCGGACAACAACUGAUCCUUGACCGUGGCGGCGGUGAUCGAUUAAAGGCGGUGUAUCGGUGGCCGAAAGAGAAGGCGGUGCGGCGAACUCACCUCCGUGACUACCACGGCAGAGGUACUGCAAAUUUCAGUGAAAGGAAGAUGAGCGCAACGGAGUCCAACGUCGAGAGUUUGAGAGAAAGAGAGAAAGAAAAGAGGAAGAGGAAUGGAGGCACCGUCAAUUUCCCUCAAGUAGGAUUCUGUUUGGAAAAAAGGAUGAAAGGAAAGGGACGAUGGAGUAUUUUAUGAGGGAAUUAAAGUUUGGGCCGGAGUACAUUAAAUCAAUGGAUGAUUUCACGCACGCUUUUCAAGAACGAAAUGGAGCACAAGUUAAAGCUUUAAACGAAUGAGGUUGAGCGGGAUGUUGCGGUGGAUGUUGAGUCGGCCUAGGAAAUGUUG